rnacentral:tRNA from 1 species
CAGGGAGACAACAAAAUGUUUAAUAUUAUUAUUUUGUCACCUUAGGUCGAUCGGUAUCUCACGUUCUUAAUUUAUUAAGAAUUUCAUUUCCUAAGUUUUUCUAGGUCACACCCAUUAUUUUUCCUGGGCCAUUAGCUCAGGUGGUUAGAGCGCACCCCUGAUAAGGGUGAGGUCCCUGGUUCAAGUCCAGGAUGGCCCAUAUCUCUAUGUUGGGGGUAUAGCUCAGUUGGUAGAGCGCCUGCUUUGCAAGCAGGAUGUCAGCGGUUCGAGUCCGCUUACCUCCACUGAUUACCACCUCUUCCAUAAUCGGUAGAAAGGAAAUGUUUUGAGUUGUGAUCAAAUUCUGAACGAAUCUAGCUUCCUAAUGAAAUCAUUAAGAUGCUGGACUCAUUGAAUUAAUUUCAUUGUUUUCAGAGAACCUUGACAACUGCAUAGAUUAUUUUUAAAGACAAUAAGCAUCUUAAUGAUGCAGAUUUAUUAUUUGUGCGAAUGCAUUAAUAACAAUUCUAUUAAGCUGAUGCUUCAAUUUUUGAAGUUAUU